rnacentral:rRNA from 1 species
AGAUUAAACAUAAGAGUUUGAUCCUGGCUCAGAUUGAACGCUGGCGGCAUGCUUUACACAUGCAAGUCGAACGGCAGCACGGAGAGCUUGCUCUCUGGUGGCGAGUGGCGAACGGGUGAGUAAUGCAUCGGAACGUACCGAGUAAUGGGGGAUAACUGUCCGAAAGGAUGGCUAAUACCGCAUACGCCCUGAGGGGGAAAGCGGGGGAUCUUAGGACCUCGCGUUAUUUGAGCGGCCGAUGUUGGAUUAGCUAGUUGGUGGGGUAAAGGCCUACCAAGGCGACGAUCCAUAGCGGGUCUGAGAGGAUGAUCCGCCACAUUGGGACUGAGACACGGCCCAAACUCCUACGGGAGGCAGCAGUGGGGAAUUUUGGACAAUGGGGGGAACCCUGAUCCAGCCAUGCCGCGUGUCUGAAGAAGGCCUUCGGGUUGUAAAGGACUUUUGUUAGGGAAGAAAAGCUGGGUGUUAAUACCAUC